AAUACCAAGGCGCUUGAGAGAACUCGGGUGAAGGAACUAGGCAAAAUGGCACCGUAACUUCGGGAGAAGGUGCGCCGGUGAGGGUGAAGCAUUUACUGCGUAAGCCCAUGCCGGUCGAAGAUACCAGGCCGCUGCGACUGUUUAUUAAAAACACAGCACUCUGCUAACACGAAAGUGGACGUAUAGGGUGUGACGCCUGCCCGGUGCCGGAAGGUUAAUUGAUGGGGUUAGCUAACGCGAAGCUCUUGAUCGAAGCCCCGGUAAACGGCGGCCGUAACAAUAACGGUCCUAAGGUAGCGAAAUUCCUUGUCGGGUAAGUUCCGACCUGCACGAAUAGCGUAACGAUGGCGGCGCUGUCUCCACCCGAGACUCAGUGAAAUUGAAAUCGCUGUGAAGAUGCAGUGUAUCCGCGGCUAGACGGAAAGACCCCGUGAACCUUUACUAUAGCUUUGCACUGGACUUUGAAUUUGCUUGUGUAGGAUAGGUGGGAGGCUUUGAAGCAUGGACGCCAGUUCGCGUGGAGCCAACCUUGAAAUACCACCCUGGCAACUUUGAGGUUCUAACUCAGGUCCGUUAUCCGGAUCGAGGACAGUGUAUGGUGGGUAGUUUGACUGGGGCGGUCUCCUCCUAAAGAGUAACGGAGGAGUACGAAGGUGCGCUCAGACCGGUCGGAAAUCGGUCGUAGAGUAUAAAGGCAAAAGCGCGCUUGACUGCGAGACAGACACGUCGAGCAGGUACGAAAGUAGGUCUUAGUGAUCCGGUGGUUCUGUAUGGAAGGGCCAUCGCUCAACGGAUAAAAGGUACUCCGGGGAUAACAGGCUGAUACCGCCCAAGAGUUCAUAUCGACGGCGGUGUUUGGCACCUCGAUGUCGGCUCAUCACAUCCUGGGGCUGAAGCCGGUCCCAAGGGUAUGGCUGUUCGCCAUUUAAAGUGGUACGCGAGCUGGGUUUAGAACGUCGUGAGACAGUUCGGUCCCUAUCUGCCGUGGACGUUUGAGAUUUGAGAGGGGCUGCUCCUAGUACGAGAGGACCGGAGUGGACGAACCUCUGGUGUUCCGGUUGUCACGCCAGUGGCAUUGCCGGGUAGCUAUGUUCGGAAUAGAUAACCGCUGAAAGCAUCUAAGCGGGAAACUAGCCUCAAGAUGAGAUCUCACUGGGACCUUGAGUCCCCUGAAGGGCCGUCGAAGACUACGACGUUGAUAGGUUGGGUGUGUAGCGCUGUGAGGCGUUGAGCUAACCAAUACUAAUUGCCCGUGAGGCUUGACC
rnacentral:rRNA from 1 species